rnacentral:lncRNA from 1 species
AGGAGGGCACCAAGGCAUUUAUGAGGGAUCCACCCCCAGGAGCCAAACACCUCCCACCAGGUCCCACAUCCAACACUGGGGAUUACAUUUCUGUCCAUUUGUUCUAAGAAUUCUGCUUCAGUUGGUGUAAGAUGAAUAGUUAACAUUUCUUCAGAGUGUUUUCUAUUUCUUAGAUGGCUUUUUUUUUUGGCACAUGAGUACAAGGUUCCCUGACAGUAAUUGCUACUCAAUCUGGUAAUCUUUUCUGGAAAUGGGUAAAAGGCUAGCCCUGUAGCCAGAAUCUCAGGAAAGGGAACCAAGAAAUCACAGAAAGAUUAUGUAUCAUUCACAUUUGUGGUUCCUUACCAGGCAAUUACUUGCCACUUUUUC